rnacentral:rRNA from 1 species
UCGACCGCCUGGGGAGUACGGCCGCAAGGUUAAAACUCAAAUGAAUUGACGGGGGCCCGCACAAGCGGUGGAGCAUGUGGUUUAAUUCGAUGCAACGCGAAGAACCUUACCUACUCUUGACAUCCACGGAAUUUGGCAGAGAUGCCUUAGUGCCUUCGGGAACCGUGAGACAGGUGCUGCAUGGCUGUCGUCAGCUCGUGUUGUGAAAUGUUGGGUUAAGUCCCGCAACGAGCGCAACCCUUAUCCUUUGUUGCCAGCGGUCCGGCCGGGAACUCAAAGGAGACUGCCAGUGAUAAACUGGAGGAAGGUGGGGAUGACGUCAAGUCAUCAUGGCCCUUACGAGUAGGGCUACACACGUGCUACAAUGGCAUAUACAAAGAGAAGCGACCUCGCGAGAGCAAGCGGACCUCAUAAAGUAUGUCGUAGUCCGGAUUGGAGUCUGCAACUCGACUCCAUGAAGUCGGAAUCGCUAGUAAUCGUGGAUCAGAAUGCCACGGUGAAUACGUUCCCGGGCCUUGUACACACCGCCCGUCACACCAUGGGAGUGGGUUGCAAAAGAAGUAGGUAGCUUAACCUUCGGGAGGGCGCUUACCACUUUGUGAUUCAUGACUGGGGUGAAGUCGUAACAAGGUAAGUAUU